rnacentral:rRNA from 1 species
UACGGGGGGGGGUAAGCGUUGUUCGGAAUUACUGGGCGUAAAGGGCUCGUAGGCGGCCAACUAAGUCAGACGUGAAAUCCCUCAGCUUAACUGGGGAACUGCGUCUGAAACUGAUCGGCUCGAGUGCAGGAGAGGAACGCGGAAUUCCAGGUGUAGCGGUGAAAUGCGUAGAUAUCUGGAGGAACACCGGUGGCGAAGGCGGCGUUCUGGACUGCAACUGACACUGUAAAACGAAAGCCAGGGGAGCAAACGGG